UAGACCUAGGGGGUUGGGAGUAGAGCAGGGUCUGUAGGUGGGGCCUUGCAGCCUGUCUAGGUGGGGGGUUGCUUUGUCGGUGGCGUGUUCUUUGUGUACGCAUUGACCUUUUCACUUCAGGAAUGAUUUUUUUUCUAAUGAGACUGUCAUCUGUCAUUGAAUCCAAUGUAAACAUCCUUGUGGCUGUUUGAAUAACAUGUUAUAGAUUUGCCUACUAUGCGAGUCAUCUUAAACACCAUUAUUGUUUGAGACAUCCUAUAUAUCCCGUAUAUAUAGAUCAAAGGAUCGCAAAGAGUGCUUUGUUGUUGCAUCUGCGUGCUAUGUGUCAUAUAUUAUCUGCUUGUCUGUGUGUGCAAAUGUGUGUGCUCAUGUGCAUAUAUGUCCAUGUACUCCUGCACACGUGCCUUCAUGCAUGCAUGUGGGGAUGCAACAUAAAGUCUAUGUCUGUGCCGGUAGACAUAAAGCCAGACCCCCACCAUCCCCCUCUUCCUCUUGCCUGGGGAGGAGAUAAGACAGUCUGUCUAUCUGGCUGCUCUCAGCAGGAAGGAGGGGCCAGGUCCCUGGAUGGGAGGUUAUAGAGGUGAUGGGGUAGGGACAGUCUAGGCCGUGUUUACAGGCUGGAUGUGUCAGUGGGGGGUUUAAAGAGGGGGACGGUCACUUCUGGCAUUCUUAUGUUUAUUUAGCCCCAGUAUGGCCUGGAGGCAUGUUGUGCCUAACCUUGAUGAUCCGCAAGAAAGUCACAGUCAAACACAAUUUACACACAAGCUCAGUGGCUUAAAUGCACACACACAAAUGCAUGAGACAGGUAUGUGAGACUGCGUGAUCUCUUUGGAUGUUACAUAACUGAUAAACAACUAGCGCUGACAGAUUCAUAAACACAGUUCUCUGAUCAUCAUCACAAGGAUGUUCAAAGACCUUCAUUUUCCUCGUGUUUAAUUUGGAGCAAAUAUUGAUCCCUGCAGCAGGAGGAUAUUGUCAUGCAAGACUAUCUGUGCUGUUGUUGUGAUUAGUGCUUGUGAUCUGUGGAGAAGCUAGAUCCGUGCAACUCCAUACCAAAAGCGACUGUGCCAAAUGACUUGUACUCUGAUAUAGUGCAGAGUUGCAGCAUCUUAGUGCUUUCAAGGUGUGCACUUUUGGACAGCC